rnacentral:rRNA from 1 species
AACAAAAACAUGUCCUUUAGAAUAUAAUUUGAGGUCUAACCUGCCCAAUGAUUAAUAUUUAAUGGCCGCAGUAUUUUGACUGUGCAAAGGUAGCAUAAUCAUUAGUUUUUUAAUUGAAAGCUUGUAUGAAUGGUUGGACGAGAAAAAAUCUGUCUUUAAUUAAUUAAAUGAAUUUAAUUUUUUAGUUAAAAAGCUAAAAUUAUUUUAAAAGACGAGAAGACCCUAUAGAUCUUUAUAUUAAUUUUAGUAAAUUUAAUAAGGAAUUUUUUUAAAUUUAUUUUUAAAAAUAUUUUAUUGGGGUAAUAAAAAGAUUAAUUUAAUUCUUUUAUUUAUUUUAUCAUUAAAUAAUGAUUUUUUUAUCCUUUUUUAUGGAAGUUUAAUUAAGUUACCUUAGGGAUAACAGCGUAAUUUUUUUAGAGAGUUCAUAUCGAUAAAAAAGUUUGCGACCUCGAUGUUG